rnacentral:rRNA from 1 species
AGCGAACGCUGGCGGCAGGCUUAACACAUGCAAGUCGAGCGGGCAUCCAUGAGGAGUCUGCGGCAGACGGGGGAGUAACGCGUGGGAACGUGCCCUUCGGUUCGGAAUAACUCAGGGAGACGUGAGCUAAUACCGGAUACGUGCGAGAGCAGAAAGGUUUAUCUGCCUAAGGAUCGGCCGGCGUCUGAUUAGCUAGUUGGUGAGGUUAUGGCUCACCAAGGCGACGAUCAGUAGCUGGUCUGAGAGGAUGAUCAGCCACACUGGGACUGAGACACGGCCCAGACUCCUGCGGGAGGCAGCAGUGGGGAAUAUUGGACUAUGGGGGCAACCCUGAUCCAGCCAUGCCGCGUGAGUGAUGACGGCCUUAGGGUUGUAAAGCACUUUUCUCCGGGACGAUAAUGACGGUACCGGAGGAAUAAGCCCCGGCUAACUUCGUG